rnacentral:rRNA from 1 species
GACGAACGCUGGCGGCGUGCUUAACACAUGCAAGUCGAACGGUAAGGCUCCAGCUUGCUGGGGUACACGAGUGGCGAACGGGUGAGUAACACGUGGGUGACCUGCCCUGCACUUCGGGAUAAGCCUGGGAAACUGGGUCUAAUACCGGAUAGGACCGCACCGUGAGGGUGUGGUGGAAAGUUUUUUCGGUGUGGGAUGGGCCCGCGGCCUAUCAGCUUGUUGGUGGGGUAAUGGCCUACUAAGGCGGCGACGGGUAGCCGGCCUGAGAGGGUGGACGGCCACAUUGGGACUGAGACACGGCCCAGACUCCUACGGGAGGCAGCAGUGGGGAAUAUUGCACAAUGGGCGGAAGCCUGAUGCAGCGACGCCGCGUGGGGGAUGACGGCCUUCGGGUUGUAAACUCCUUUCACCAUCGACGAAGGGUUUCUGACGGUAGAUGGAGAAGAAGCACCGGCUAACUACGUGCCAGCAGCCGCGGUAAUACGUAGGGUGCGAGCGUUGUCCGGAAUUACUGGGCGUAAAGAGCUCGUAGGUGGUUUGUCGCGUCGUCUGUGAAAUUCCGGGGCUUAACUCCGGGCGUGCAGGCGAUACGGGCAUAACUUGAGUACUGUAGGGGAGACUGGAAUUCCUGGUGUAGCGGUGAAAUGCGCAGAUAUCAGGAGGAACACCGGUGGCGAAGGCGGGUCUCUGGGCAGUAACUGACGCUGAGGAGCGAAAGCAUGGGGAGCGAACAGGAUUAGAUACCCUGGUAGUCCAUGCCGUAAACGGUGGGCGCUAGGUGUGGGUUUCCUUCCACGGGAUCCGUGCCGUAGCUAACGCAUUAAGCGCCCCGCCUGGGGAGUACGGCCGCAAGGCUAAAACUCAAAGGAAUUGACGGGGGCCCGCACAAGCGGCGGAGCAUGUGGAUUAAUUCGAUGCAACGCGAAGAACCUUACCUGGGCUUGACAUAUACCGGAUCGCGCCAGAGAUGGUGUUUCCCUUGUGGCUUGUAUACAGGUGGUGCAUGGUUGUCGUCAGCUCGUGUCGUGAGAUGUUGGGUUAAGUCCCGCAACGAGCGCAACCCUUGUCUUAUGUUGCCAGCACGUUGUGGUGGGGACUCGUAAGAAACUGCCGGGGUUAACUCGGAGGAAGGUGGGGAUGACGUCAAAUCAUCAUGCCCCUUAUGUCCAGGGCUUCACACAUGCUACAAUGGUCGGUACAGUGGGUUGCCAGUCCGUGAGGGCGAGCUAAUCCCGCAAAGCCGGUCUCAGUUCGGAUCGGGGUCUGCAACUCGACCCCGUGAAGUCGGAGUCGCUAGUAAUCGCAGAUCAGCAACGCUGCGGUGAAUACGUUCCCGGGCCU